UACGGGAAAAUAGCGCAAGCGAUUUACACAGGUUUUGUGUUAAAGUUACAUAUUUAAACGGCAACGUUUUUCAACUAAUCAGCUUCUUUUAUUUUAUUGACGUUAUAAUUAAUCUUUUUUUUUUUUUGGUUCAACGUUUUACUAAUCUUCUUUUUUUUUUUUUUUGCUAAACAACGUAUUAAUCUUCAUGUAAGAAGAAGAAGACAUGUAUGGUAUGGAGCCAAGAUCCAUUAGAAGCGGAAGCAGUAGCCUUGACUUGGCGGCAAUGAUGUACAUUGAUAACUUGGGGUUUUGAGACAGUCAUCUUUGAGAGUGACUCCAUGAAUCCGAUGAAGACAGUAUAAAACUACAAGAGUGGUCGGCUCACAUGGAGUUCUAAGCACCAUCUUGAAUCCCUCUCACUAUAACUUUCCUCAUCCUUUGUUUUUGGCAGCCAUAAUGGCAAUAUCUGUGCCUG
rnacentral:lncRNA from 1 species